rnacentral:rRNA from 1 species
AGAGUGAACGCUGGCGGUAGGCCUAACACAUGCAAGUCGAACGGCAGCACGGUAAGAGCUUGCUCUUAUGGGUGGCGAGUGGCGGACGGGUGAGGAAUACAUCGGAAUCUACCUUUUGGUGGGGGAUAACGUAGGGAAACUUACGCUAAUACCGCAUACGCCCUUCGGGGGAAAGCCGGGGACCAGCAAUGGCCUGGUGCUGAUAGAUGAGCCGAUGUCGGAUUAGCUAGUUGGUGAGGUAAUGGCUCACCAAGGCGACGAUCCGUAGCUGGUCUGGAGAGGAUGAUCAGCCACA